rnacentral:lncRNA from 1 species
UCCAGCCUACUCUCCUACAAGUCCCUCUUAUUCUCCAACCUCACCAAGCUAUAGCCCUACCUCUCCAAGCUACAGCCCUACGUCUCCAAGUUACAGUCCUACUUCACCAAGUUAUAGUCCCACAUCUCCCAGCUAUAGUCCAACUUCACCAAGCUACAGCCCUACUUCACCGGCAUAUAGCCCAACUUCACCUGCAUACAGCCCCACUUCUCCAUCAUACAGCCCAACAUCGCCAUCAUACAGUCCGACAUCUCCUUCUUACAGCCCAACCUCACCCUCCUAUAGCCCUACAUCUCCAUCAUACAGCCCUACGUCCCCAGCAUAUAGCCCCACUUCUCCCGGGUACAGUCCGACCUCACCAAGUUAUGGUCCCACGUCACCUAGCUAUAGCCCUACCUCUCCAAGUUACAAUCCGCAAUCAGCCAAGUACAGUCCAUCUCUAGCAUACUCACCAAGCAGUCCAAGGUUGUCU